GAUGAACGCUAGCGGCAGGCUUAACACAUGCAAGUCGAACGGCAGCACGGGAGCAAUCCUGGUGGCGAGUGGCGAACGGGUGAGUAAUAUAUCGGAACGUGCCCGGUCGUGGGGAUAACGUAGCGAAAGCUACGCUAAUACCGCAUACGAUCUACGGAUGAAAGCGGGGGAUCGCAAGACCUCGCGCGAUUGGAGCGGCCGAUAUCAGAUUAGGUAGUUGGUGAGGUAAAGGCUCACCAAGCCGACGAUCUGUAGCUGGUCUGAGAGGACGACCAGCCACACUGGGACUGAGACACGGCCCAGACUCCUACGGGAGGCAGCAGUGGGAAUAUUGGACAAAUGGGCGAAAGCCUGAUCCAGCCAUGCCGCGUGUGUGAAGAAGGUCUUCGGAUUGUAAAGCACUUUAAGUUUGGGAGGAAGGGUAGUAACCGUAAUACGUU
rnacentral:rRNA from 1 species